rnacentral:rRNA from 1 species
UACAUGUGGGGCAAGCGUUGUUCGGAAUUACUGGGCAUAAAGGGUGCGUAGGUGGCUUGUUAAGUCAGGGGUGAAAGCCCAGGGCUUAACCCUGGAAUUGCCUUUAAGACUGCAUCGCUAGAAUCGUGGAGAGGUGAGUGGAAUUCCGAGUGUAGAGGUGAAAUUCGUAGAUAUUCGGAAGAACACCAGUGGCGAAGGCGACUCACUGGACACGUAUUGACGCUGAGGUGCGAAAGCGUGGGGAGCAAACAGG